rnacentral:tRNA from 1 species
GUCACUUUGCCGGAGUGGUUAACGGGAUCGCCUGCUACUUUAGUAGUUAUGUGAGCGGUUGGUCUUUGACCGCGAGUGUUCGAAUCGCUCAGGUGACG